AGCGGGGUGGAGAAGUAGUAUCUCGUCUGGCCCAUAACCAGAAGAUCGUUGGUGCAAUUCCAACCCCCGCAACCU
rnacentral:tRNA from 1 species